rnacentral:precursor_RNA from 1 species
AUGACACGUUGUUCUCGCCUAAAUAAAAAAAAUGAAACUUUCAUGUUACGAGAAACAAUGUAACUUU